AAACCUAGAUAGAACCCUACACUCACUAUCCGCCCGGGAACUACAAGCACCAGCUUCAAACCCAAAGGACUUGGCGGUGCUUUAGACCCACCUAGAGGAGCCUGUUCUAGAACCGAUACUCCCCGUUCAACCUCACCACCUCUGGCCCCCCCCGCUUAUAUACCUCCGUCGCAAGCUUGCCCUUUGAAGGCCCCAUCGCAAGCUAAUAAGGCAUCGCCCCUCACGUCAGGUCGAGGUGUAGCGCAUGAGGCGGAAAGAAAUGGGCUACAUUCUCUUGUCUAAGAGAACACGAAACGUGUGAUGAAACUCACACCCGAAGGCGGAUUUAGCAGUAAGAAGAAAAAACGAGAGUUCU
rnacentral:rRNA from 1 species